rnacentral:lncRNA from 1 species
AUCCUCCAAAGACACACUCAUCAUCUCAGGCCUGAAGGUGAUGUCACCCUGAGGAGCUGGGCCCUGGGCUUCUACCCUGCUGACAUCACUGUGACCUGGCAGUUGAAUGGAAAGGAACUGACCCAUGACAUGGAGCUUGUGGAGACCAGGCCUGCAGGGGAUGGGACCUUCCAGAAGUGGGCAGCUGUGGUGGUGCCUUCUGGGGAAGAGCAGAAUAUAUACUUGGCAUGUGUACCAUGAAGGGCUGUCUGAGAUGGGGUAAGGAGGGUGUGGAGCCUCCUCAGUCCAGUAUGCCCACCAGGACCAUUGUUGGUGUUGUCCUUGGAGCUAUGGUCAUAGGUUUAAAGAGCAGAAAUGUUAUGAUGUGGAUGAGAAAGAACAAAAGUGGAAACAGAGGCUAUGACCCUGCUGCAUGUCAGAAUGUGAGGGAACAGUUAUCCUUGAGGCACUCGGGGUGGAAUCUUGGCUGAAGGUUCUUCCUCCAGCCCCACCAUUGGUCUCCUGA